GACAGAGGUGCCAAGCGUUAGGCGGAAUCACUGGGCUUAAAGCGUGUGUAGGCGGAUGCCUAAGUAUCUUGUGAAAUCCCACGGCUCAACCGUGGAACUGCUUGAUAUACUGGGUGUCUUGAGCCAUCUAGGGGCUACCGGAACAAAUGGUGGAGCGGUGAAAUGCGUAGAGAUGUGGAGGAACACCGAUGGCGAAGGCAGCCUUCUGGGCCAACACUGACGCUCAUGCACGAAAGCGUGGGGAGCAAACAGG
rnacentral:rRNA from 1 species